AGCGAACGCUGGCGGCAGGCCUAACACAUGCAAGUCGAACGAACCUUUCGGGGUUAGUGGCGGACGGGUGAGUAACACGUGGGAACGUGCCUUUAGGUUCGGAAUAACUCAGGGAAACUUGUGCUAAUACCGAAUGUGCCCUUCGGGGGAAAGAUUUAUCGCCUUUAGAGCGGCCCGCGUCUGAUUAGCUAGUUGGUUGAGGUAAUGGCUCACCAAGGCGACGAUCAGUAGCUGGUCUGAGAGGAUGAUCAGCCACAUUGGGACUGAGACACGGCCCAAACUCCUACGGGAGGCAGCAGUGGGGAAUCUUGCGCAAUGGGCGAAAGCCUGACGCAGCCAUGCCGCGUGAAUGAUGAAGGUCUUAGGAUUGUAAAAUUCUUCCACCGGGGACGAUAAUGACGGUACCCGGAGAAGAAGCCCCGGCUAACUUCGUG
rnacentral:rRNA from 1 species